UUAUAAAAAAAUUACAUUAAUAAAUAUACAUUUAAUCCGACAGCUCGACAAUUUAUUUUACAAUUUAAAUAAAAAUAUUUGUUUUGAUAGUAACCAAAAAAAAAAAGGUCAAGAAACAAUGAUGUAUCAGAAAGUGGGUCAAACUAAGAGUAAUAAAAUUUAAAUAGUACAGUAUGCAAACUAAAUGAUACAACAAAAGAAAGUUGUGUAGAAUUCACCAUGACUUGUGAUAAAGAAAUAAAUGAUUUGAAAUUAAAAUAAACACCUAUUUCUAAUUAAAUUAUUCCAACAUAAUAUAUCUGAUGAGAAAUUGAAAAAUUAAUCAACCUUAAAGAGAAAUUAAAAAGCCAUUUAGCGUUCGUUGGAGGAAAUUGAUUAGUGUGUCGACAUUUAAAAAGUCCCAACUGUCAAGAAAGCAUCAACAACAGCUUGAGAGUCAUUUAUAUAGGAGAAUCAACUCUUGAGACCGUUAGAGGUAUACGCUAAUGAUGCUACAUCGACGACAAACCGGAAGUAAUUCUUGACGAUAAAGCAAACAAGAAACAUUCAUGUGCAGCAUAGCGUGGCGCGAAACUAUCGGCUAACGAUGAACCAGUCGUGUAGUCAAGUAUGUCCAGGUGAUGGUUUAUGUGCAAGACAACUGAAUCUGAAUAUGAUUUAUUGGGUGAACUCAGGAAGAACUUGAGACGUUGCAACAGGAAUACACACAUCCCCCAUUCAUAUAUCAUCACUAUUUCUAAUUUAUAUACAAAAAAGCUUUUAUUUAUAUGAUUAGGCAUAUUUUUAUUGUUAUUUUAUAUAUAUCAUUUUUUUUUCACACUUGGAAAAUCUCAAAGUGUAUUUGUAUCAUGGUAAUAAUUCAUCAUAAUGUAGAAAUAAGGAGAAUACAUGUAGACUAUCUGUUAUAUGAUUUGACAACAUAACUAGAGUUAAGAUGGAUAUUUCUCGCUAGAAGAAGCACAUCUAUUGCUUAAUUGCAGUCAUUCAACUAAGUUGUUUAGAAUAAAACACUAUUAUUUACCAAGCUUAUUGAAGUAUGGAAGGUGUUAAAAAAACUGGACUGGAUCCACAUAUACCCGCAAGGAUGAUUGGGAAAAAAAGUUACAGCCUAUGGUCUCUCAGACGAUGGUUCUCAGCUUGGGAUUCCUACUUGGAUAACGGAUUUACGAGUAAAGAGUCCACCAGUUAAGACUACUUUAUCCCUCUGGCUAAUAAUAAGAACGAGUUUAUAUAAGAAUAAAAUACGCUUUGUCUUAUUACCCACCACCCUUUCCUCAGGCUAAAGACAUGCCUAGUCAUUUACUCAUCAUUUUUCAAUUAUGAAUUUUAAAACAUUUGGAGACAAAUACUUAGCAGUGGAAUAAUAUGUUGAUUGAAUAUCAAAUCAAAUGAAAUCAAUUCAUUCAGUCAUAAGAAUGUAAGAACAAUAGAUCUUUCAAGUGAAUAAGAUUCAACAAAGCUAUCUACUCCGUAUCUUCAUAUGCUAACAUAUGAACGUACAAACAAAUAUAUUUACAGUUGAAUGUAUAAUUUAGAACAUCAUCAUUUUCUCAAGUUUCUGAGCAUUAAAUUCAAGAUAAAAAGCAAGAAACUAGAAAAAAGAUGCAUUUUGAAUCCGUUACAUUGAAUAUUUAGUGGGAGAAUUCUAACGUCCUCCCACGUAAUUGAUGAUGAGUUAGCAUAUUGCAAAAUGAUGAGAGUCAUGACAUAGACAAUCAAAUAUUUUUUUUUGAGAUCAUUUUCUAUUCUCUCGAUAUGCAUUAUUGUUUUCUUAUUUCAUUCGAGACAAAGUAACUGU